UCUGAUCCCCUUUGAUGCCCUGUCAUGGAACAGCAUCUUGGGCUUCUCCUUUACUGUUGGAGUGGCUGGAGAGAGAUGCCUGGGUGGACUCUGGAUGUGGAAGGGAGUGAUCUAUGACAAAGCUGAGACUUAGAAUCAAUUAAAAUCAUCACAUGUUUUCUGGAGGUUAACAACGUACACAGCACCGUGCAUCCUAGAGAGGCAGAAGGAUGCUCGCCAGCUUGUUGAUAUGACUGCCUGCGCUGUAACCAAGGAUCAGGAAACAAAGAUCAGACAUCUUAACACAGGGCUCUAACUCUGGAAGGGAACUUUGAAGCACAAGAGAGACCAUCUGCUUGACUUUCCAGGGAAGCAGAGUGGAAGUCCAGUAGGCUUCUGACCCCACUUUCAAAUG
rnacentral:lncRNA from 1 species